rnacentral:rRNA from 1 species
CGCGUAGGCGGCCUUCUAAGUCGAACGUGAAAUCCCCGGGCUCAACCCGGGAACUGCGUCCGACACUGGGAGGCUUGAAUCCGGGAGAGGGAUGUGGAAUUCCAGGUGUAGCGGUGAAAUGCGUAGAUAUCUGGAGGAACACCGGUGGCGAAGGCGGCAUCCUGGGCCGGUAUUGACGCUGAGGCGCGAAAGCCAGGGGAGCAAACG